CCUACGGGAGGCUGCAGUGGGGAAUAUUGCACAAUGGGCGAAAGCCUGAUGCAGCAACGCCGCGUGAAGGAAGAAGGUUUUCGGCUUGUAAACUUCUUUUAUCAGGGACGAAAGAAAUGACGGUACCUGAAUAAGAAGCCUCGGCUAACUACGUGCCAGCAGCCGCGGUAAUACGUAGGGGGCAAGCGUUAUCCGGAAUUAAUGGGGGUAAAGGGUGAGUAGGUGGCAUGGUAAGUCAGAUGUGAAAGCCUUGGGCUUAACCCGAGGAUUGCAUUUGAAACUAUCAAGCUUGAGUACAGGAGAGGAAAGCGGAAUGCCUAGUGUAGCGGUGAAAUGCGUAGAUAUUAGGAGGAACACCAGUGGCGAAGGCGACUUUCUGGACUGAAACUGACGCUGAGGCACGAAAGCGUGGGGAGCGAACAGGAUUAGAUACCCCGGUAGUC
rnacentral:rRNA from 1 species